rnacentral:rRNA from 1 species
AACGGAGGGUGCAAGCGUUGUUCGGAAUUACUGGGCGUAAAGCGCGUGCAGGCGGCCCUUUAAGUCUCGUAUGAAAUCCCUCGGCCUAACCGAGGAACUGUGCGGGAAACUGGAGGGCUACGAGUCCGGGAGAAGAGGGCGGAAUUCCCAGUGUAGAGGUGAAAUUCGUAGAUAUUGGGAGGAACACCAGCGGCGAAGGCGGCUCUCUAGACCGGUACUGACGCUCAUACGCGAGAGCGCGGGUAGCAAACAGG